AUUGAACGCUAGCGGCAUGCCUAACACAUGCAAGUCGAACGGAGUGGCGAACGGGUGAGUAAUGUAUCGGAACGUGCCCAGUAGCGGGGGAUAACUACGCGAAAGGGUAGCUAAUACCGCAUACUAUUGGAGCGGCCGAUGUCGGAUUAGCUAGUUGGUGGGGUAAGGGCUUACCAAGGCGACGAUCCGUAGCUGGUUUGAGAGGAUGACCAGCCACACUGGGACUGAGACACGGCCCAGACUCCUACGGGAGGCAGCAGUGGGGAAUUUUGGGCAAUGGGCGAAAGCCUGAUACAGCCAUGCCGCGUGUGUGAUGAAGGCCUUCGGGUUGUAAAACACUUUUAGCAGGGAAGCGGUACCUACCGAAUAAGCACCGGCUAACUACGUGCCAGCAGCCGCGGUAAUUC
rnacentral:rRNA from 1 species